rnacentral:sRNA from 1 species
AUGUACCGCUCUUACACUCCGGUUCCUCCGCGCCGUCCACACCCACCUGACGACCGCUCGCUACGUUCUGUUUGCU